GGCCGGGCGGGCCUCCUGGGAACGCCCCUGAGAAAUGAGCUCAUGCUGCACGCGCGCGCUCCUAGGGCCCUGCUGCCCGGCGCUCACUGAAGGGGCCCCGAAAUCAGGAAAUACAACAUAAUUUUGCAGUAUUUGAGACUCCAGAAAACACAGAAGCAUUUUGAUUCCUUGAGGGCCAUGAUGGAGAUCAUGAAAAUUUCCAGUAGAAGGUGGAGGUGACCUGGCUUACUGGGGCUGGAUCAACAAUGAGUACCAGAAGUGUUCAAAGACAAGACACCUCAACAGCUGACAUCCGUGUGGCUGCACAUAAGACUUGUUUUUAAGCCCAUAUAAAACCCUGUCUAAAGAAUCUUAGAACUUAUGGAACCUUGCAAGGAGCUGGAGGUCCUGCAUCAGUAGGCAAAGGCAGGAGGCAUUGAAAUGUGGGUUAUAAAACCAUUUUUAAUAAAUUGAUAAUUGUGGCUUUUAGUUCCUAAAGGAUAAGAUGUAAGAAUUGAAUCUGCUGUUCCCUUACUUCAGUGGUUCCCAUUUCCACACCCUUAUCUGUGUGAGCAUUUCACAAAACUAAGGGUACUCUGAUGGUUGUUUUGAAAUACAGGGCAUCUUGGGUUUUUUUUAUAACAUGACCCAUUAAUGCAGGUUAAAUACAAUUCUUCAUCUGGUGUUCAACCAAAGAAACAGUGGUAUGUUCCAAUACUGGGAGAAAAACUAGCUGAACUGAAUUUAUUGAUAUUUUAGGUCCUGUAUAGGGUUAUUUUGAAUGUGUGUGAUUUGCACCUAAAAUGCUGUUUUUAGAACCUAAACCUUGUCAAAGAGGAAACUCCAAGGUUUUACUUUUCCUAUAAUGCUUAAUAGUUUAUAAUGAACAUUAUAGUAUUGAACACAUACUGAAACCUGUGAGGUAGACUAGACAGAUAAUAUUACUUCAUUUUAUAGAUUUUUAAUUGGAGACAAAAAGAACUAUAAUUAGCUUUCCUGGCUCAAUUUUACCACACUGAUCAAAUAUAUUCAUUGAGCAGCCACAGGUAUAUGGCAUUUCAUUAUGUUCUUGGAAUAAUAUUUUUAAAAAUGCAUAAAAGUAUGCUCUGAGCAGGUAAGAGAAGUCUCAUAAAAUGAGAAUAGUUUAUAACCUGACAUCCUUUUUUAAAUAAAAUUUUCAUGGACCUU